rnacentral:rRNA from 1 species
UACGUAGGGUGCAAGCGUUAAUCGGAAUUAUUGGGCGUAAAGAGCUCGUAGGCGGUUUGUCGCGUCUGUCGUGAAAGCCCACGGCUUAACCGUGGGUCUGCGGUGGAUACGGGCAGACUAGAGGCAGGUAGGGGAGAAUGGAAUUCCCGGUGUAGCGGUGAAAUGCGCAGAUAUCAGGAAGAACACCUAUGGCGAAGGCAGCUCUCUGGGACGGUACUGACGCUGAGACGCGAAAGCGUGGGGAGCGAACAGG